AAUGUAGCUUUUUGCAUUUUGGCGACUUUGAACAAAAGCUGUCGUAAUUACAGUGGAUAGCUGUCACGUGCAUUGGAUGCUGCCGUAAAGCAAUCCGCGCAUUUCGUGUCAUUUUGUAUCCAUUCACCAAACAUUUGAGGGGAGCCAGAGAAAGAAACACAAGCUCUUAAAACUGAUAUUUCAAGGUAAUCCAUAUUCAAAUCACAGACAGCAUGGUGAAAUCGUGUGGCUAAAUCCAACAGCUUUCUCACAUGGCUUGUACGGCCAAGAAAUACCAUCUGUGUCCAUCUAAAACAAGAUGCAUGUGGAGGAACCUUACAGAUGGUAGAGUUCUGAGAACCACGCUAGCGGUAGCACAGUUGUUAGCAGGAAUCCCGAUGCCAAUCCGUCGAUGACAGGUGAACAUCUUGCGCAGUUCCGCCCUGAAACGAUCGUGCAGCCAUGCAUAUAAAAAUGGGUUACAACAAGAAGAACUCA